UACGGAGGGUGCAAGCGUUAUCCGGAAUCACUGGGUUUAAAGGGUGCGUAGGCUGUUAGAUAAGUCAGUUGUGAAAUUCUCCGGCUUAACCGGGCGAACUGCGAUUGAUACUGUUUAACUUGAAUGAGGUUGAGGUAGGCGGAAUGUGGCAUGUAGCGGUGAAAUGCUUAGAUAUCGUCAAGAACACCGAUAGCGAAGGCAGCUUACUAGACUGUAACUGACGCUGAGGCACGAAAGUGUGGGGAUCAAACAGG
rnacentral:rRNA from 1 species